rnacentral:lncRNA from 1 species
GUAACUAUGUCCCUACAAGUCAGAAGACUGACAAUAGGCAACAUGAAGGUAAUAAGAUACUACUAUCUAGUAAAGUUACGAUUCUAAAUCCAUUCUCUUGGCGCAUGAUUAGAGAUUCCUGCUAACAUGCACCGGUGACUGUCGUUCAUGGUCGGAAGAGUUCAGGGGCGACCUCAAAAAGAUCAGGCAAAGAUGAGGAACCCUAGUACGGCCACCAUGAGCUUUGGAAAGGAAAGAGAAAGGUUGUUAGCAUGAGUGAUGCAUGUGAUGUUUCCAAUGAAACAGUGAACUCAAAGGAGAUGUGUUCUCACUACUCCAAUCUCUACUUGUCCUCUAACGAAUUCUAAUAGUGCAACGCUUUCACCGCCGAUAACAAAGGCAAUUGAAGAAACCCUCACCCUGCGCUCGCUAACCACUCAACUGACCCACACAGAAUUUGAAUUUGGCACUGCAAUUAUGGGGUCUAAACUAUCAAUUGAUACUGCAAAUGUUGUACCACCUACCAGAAAAAGGCCAACUAAAGAGAGGGAAGAAGAUGAUCAAGCAAAGGCUCCAGAAAAAUGGUCAGGGUUGUUCUCCCAAAAUUGAAUUGCUAUGAAUGGUAUACCUCCAUCAUUUCUCCCAUCGGUUUUAGUAAAUGGGAAAUUAGCAAUUCAAUUAGAAUCUGAGUAACUAGAAGAGCACACUAGGGCAUAGAGGAAUGCUCUUAUACUAUAUACUAUUUACUAUAGGUUCUGCUCCAAAUCAUUACUAU